AGCCGCUCAUUGAGCACAUAACGAAUUUUUUUUUCGCCUUUUACUAGAGAAUACCGUGGGCUCGUCGCUAUUAAGUGGCAUACACCAUUUCUUGGAGGGUUGUCUAUACGGCAACCC